rnacentral:sRNA from 1 species
CGUGGUCGUUCUUCCACGUUAACUUUGAUGACAGCACCAUGGGCUUGGCUGAAGCUGUGUCCCUUGGACAGCAGUGGGAGGCCUGAGACUGGGUCAGGAGAGAGCUGCUGUUGUCUCUCUGAGGCUGCCAGUUGUUGUGUGUUACCGAUGCCAGAAGCCACUGGGUCCCUGGCCUUGCAUCCCACCACUGUGUGUGUUGUUGAAUUUCCCCUUUCCGUCUGCGGGUCAGUGAAGUCAUGGGCUGCUUGUCCUGUGCUCUCUCCCCAGGAGAAAAGCCUUACAGAUGCUCAUGGGAAGGGUGUGAGUGGCGUUUUGCAAGAAGUGAUGAGUUAACCAGGCACUUCCGAAAGCACACCGGGGCCAAGCCUUUUAAAUGCUCCCACUGUGACAGGUGUUUUUCCAGGUCUGACCACCUGGCCCUGCACAUGAAGA